rnacentral:ncRNA from 19 species
UUCUUAUUUUGAGAGACGGAGGGACUGGCCCUAUGAUGUCCGGCAACCUGAAUAUUUAAGGUGCUAAUUCCAGCAGGUAUUACCUGAGAGAUAAGAA